GAUGAACGCUGGCGGCGUGCCUAAUACAUGCAAGUCGAACGCUUCACUUCGGUGAAGAGUGGCGAACGGGUGAGUAAUACAUAAGUAACCUGGCAUCUACAGGGGGAUAACUGAUGGAAACGUCAGCUAAGACCGCAUAGGUGUAGAGAUCGCAUGAACUCUAUAUGAAAAGUGCUACGGGACUGGUAGAUGAUGGACUUAUGGCGCAUUAGCUUGUUGGUAGGGUAACGGCCUACCAAGGCGACGAUGCGUAGCCGACCUGAGAGGGUGACCGGCCACACUGGGACUGAGACACGGCCCAGACUCCUACGGGAGGCAGCAGUAGGGAAUUUUCGGCAAUGGGGGAAACCCUGACCGAGCAACGCCGCGUGAAGGAAGAAGUAAUUCGGUAUGUAAACUUCUGUCAUAGAGGAAGAACGGUGGAUAUAGGGAAUGAUAUCCAAGUGACGGUACUCUAUAAGAAAGCCACGGCUAACUACGUG
rnacentral:rRNA from 1 species